GCCCCGGGCUUUCGAAACGUGCCGGCUGACAGCGCGGAGCUGCCUUCCUCCUGCUCUUAGCGAGCCUGGAAUCACCACAGAAAGGUUUAACGCUAAGAGUCUCUGAGGCGUUCAAGGUUUUUCCCAGACAAGAUGCCUUCUCAGACAAAAUUUGAAGUCCUGCUGGAAAGCGGAGGAGAUGAAAUACCUUACCUGCCAAAAUUCUUCCGAAGGGUAGCAGGAAGCUCACAUGCUCUCAGCGCACAUCUUCAGCAAAAAGUGUGCACAGCCAGUACAUAAUGGAAUAAUGGAAGAUAGAUCCAUCUGAAAAAGGCCUCAGGAGGUCAUCUUUGCCAUUAUCUUAUCUCCAGGCAGGACUGACCUCUACUUCAGAUUUGAAACAGGAUCUACCAUCUGGCUGCAGCCUGCUGUGUGUACUGCGAUUGGAGGGCUAGCUGUGGAGAUGCUCCAUUCGUG